CGCUGGCGGCGUGCCUAACACAUGCAAGUCGAGCGGGGAACGGAUGGUAGCUUGCUACCGUUUGUUCUAGCGGCGGACGGGUGAGUAACGCGUGAGCAACCUGCCUUUAUCAGGGGGAUAACGCAUCGAAAGAUGUGCUAAUACCGCGUAAGACUACAGCUUCACAUGGAGCGGGGGUCAAAGGAGCAAUCCGGAUAAAGAUGGACCCGCGUCCGAUUAGUUAGUUGGCGGGGUAACGGCCCACCAAGACCGCGAUCGGUAGCCGACCUGAGAGGGUGACCGGCCACAUUGGGACUGAGACACGGCCCAGACUCCUACGGGAGGCAGCAGUGGGGAAUAUUGCACAAUGGGGGAAACCCUGAUGCAGCAACGCCGCGUGAGUGAAGAAGUAUUUCGGUAUGUAAAGCUCUAUCAGCAGGAAAGAAAAUGACGGUACCUGACUAAGAAGCCCCGGCUAACUACGUG
rnacentral:rRNA from 1 species